rnacentral:rRNA from 1 species
CCACACGACUCUCGGCAACGGAUAUCUCGGCUCUCGCAUCGAUGAAGAACGUAGCAAAAUGCGAUACCUGGUGUGAAUUGCAGAAUCCCGCGAACCAUCGAGUUUUUGAACGCAAGUUGCGCCCGAGGCCUUUUGGUCGAGGGCACGCCUGCCUGGGCGUCACGC